rnacentral:rRNA from 1 species
ACGGGUGAGUAACGCGUGGGAAUCUACCUUUUGCUACGGAAUAACUCAGGGAAACUUGUGCUAAUACCGUAUGUGCCCUUUUGGGGAAAGAUUUAUCGGCAAAGGAUGAGCCCGCGUUGGAUUAGCUAGUUGGUGAGGUAAAGGCUCACCAAGGCGACGAUCCAUAGCUGGUCUGAGAGGAUGAUCAGCCACACUGGGACUGAGACACGGCCCAGACUCCUACGGGAGGCAGCAGUGGGGAAUAUUGGACAAUGGGCGCAAGCCUGAUCCAGCCAUGCCGCGUGAGUGAUGACGGUCUUAGGAUUGUAAAGCUCUUUCACCGGUGAAGAUAAUGACGGUAACCGGAGAAGAAGCCCCGGCUAACUUCGUGCCAGCAGCCGCGGUAAUACGAAGGGGGCUAGCGUUGUUCGGAUUUACUGGGCGUAAAGCGCACGUAGGCGGACUUUUAAGUCAGGGGUGAAAUCCCGGGGCUCAACCCCGGAACUGCCUUUGAUACUGGAAGUCUUGAGUAUGGAAGAGGUGAGUGGAAUUCCGAGUGUAGAGGUGAAAUUCGUAGA